CUGUGAGGAGCUUUGUUGCUAGGGAGCCUGAGGAGACUGGCAGGAAGCAGCACAAGAAGCUAGGCCCCAGAGAGAAAGCCCUAGAAGGAGUUGAUUUGUGAAAGGGGCCUGGAGGCAGAUGUGGAUGAUCAUCUCACACUAUGUGGCAUGAAGUUGGACUAUCUUUAUAAUUAUCUUAACUGCAAAUAUUAUUACUGAUCAUAAAAGGAACAGAUCCCUUUGAACUUCAGCUACUUCCAGUGCCCAUGAAUGGCACUGACUAUGACACAUGAUGAACAAAGAGGGAAAGGACAGCUGGGGCAAGGAAGAAUCCUAAAGCAGACUUGGGAGAAGAGAGACUCCAGGGAAGAAGCCCUGAGGAGGCGUCAGGCAUCCUGGAUGUGGUGCUCUCUAACAGAGUGAGGAAGAACUCUGAAGCACCAGGAAGAAGAGAGCAGGGGUGACCACAACAAGCAGAAGUGGUGACCACUUGAAGGAGCUGGAAGAACGGACAUGUUAAAAGAUGACUGGUUUCUUGAACCAAACCAAAAUGUAUUGGCACUCCACCCGAGUGAUCUGAACACCACUGUUAUCUGAGCUUGUUAGGGAAUCCUAACAAUCCCAAACAUUCAGAGCUAGGAUGUGGGAGGCCCUUCAUGGCUGCACAAGGUCUGAGGGGACACACAUUAGCAGUCUCAGAACAACCUGAGUUUGGGGGCAUGCAGGUACUAUAUGCUCCUGCUCUGCCUCCCCACCCCAGGGAGCAGGAUGCUGGAGAGGGAUGGAGCAGACUGCAGUACUGAUCAAUGUGGAGAGGGAUAUGGUUUCCCCCUACUUCAACCUUAUACUCUCCCCUUUAGUUAUCUAGUCUCCAUGGAUUGCUAGCAGACAACAGUGUCUGUGAUCCACAAUGGGCUUGUGCUCAUGAAUAGGGGAAUACAAAGGCAUGGGAGGAGCUUUACACCCUCUACGUAUGCCAUCUCAUGUACCAGUUCUGAUCAAAACCAAUCAUUAGGA